rfam:Triticum aestivum genome assembly, contig: Triticum_aestivum_CS42_TGACv1_scaffold_249903_3DL
AAAACAUCCGGGACAGUGUUCCCGGUGUUUC